CUUCACAAUGACAGGGGUGGGAAGGGGGGGGGGGCUUCGAAUGGGGGGCCGGGUUGAAUCAGUGGUUGAGGCCGUAGGAAAUCUGACUGCUUAGCAAGUCGUUAAGUCCCUAGAAAUAAAACACCUGGUUCCCCGCGACAGCCCAGAGACACGGGGAUCAAGCAGCCUGUGGUUUCUAGAAGCUGGGCCAACCGUUCUAACCUGCUGCCCCUGAGAUGCCAAGACAGGAGAGGAGCUGGGGAGGGGGAGGGAAGGGGGGGGUCCGCUGCAAAACCAGUUUCACCUUGUGCCACAAAUCUAACCUUGUCUCAGAGCUGCGUUCCUGCCAAGGUCGAAUUUCAAUUUCUCUGUGGGAGUCUGAGUCUGGGUGGGGGUGGGGCUGGCAGGGGAGUGGGGGAGGGGCCGAGAUGCACAAAGACCCCUGUCCUCACACACAUUAACCCCGGGAAGCCACCAGAAAAACCUGGCCCCAUAGCAAAGUUCCCCUAGUGAAUAAAAACAGAUGCAAAGAAACGAGGAGGAAACAGAAGCAGAAAUCACGUCCUGCGUCAUUAUUCAUCCGGGGCUGGAAAAAGUCCUUCGGGCUCUUUGGUCCUUCACCUCUGCCCAAGCAAGGUGGGCAUUUCUAGCUGUCACGAAGGAGCAACCCAUAGCGUUUAGGUUCCAUGAAAGCCCAUCACUCCAGCACCGAUGGAGAGACGCCCUCCCCGCUGGCUGGAGGCUGCCCCCUGCCCCCGGGGCCGAGGAGUGGGAGGAGUCUGCGUAGCUUGGGCUGGAUGUGAGCUUCGAGAACUGACCUCACAAGGUGGGCCAGCCCUGGAGGAGGGGCCCGGGGCCCCCACUCUGGGAGAGCCCCCCCAGCACUGGCACAGGUUCCCCUGCUGCCUCCUACCAACUGCCACCCCAUCACCAUGACAACCUGCUUCCUCCCCACAGAAGCUGCCAUCAGUGCCCUAUCGCUGACCGCCUGGUUGCCACCUCUGGCUGCUGUCUCCUGCCUCUGGGCCACGGCAGGCUCUCAUUCUGUGCCCAGCACCUGGCACUUUGUAACACUGUGGGCCUCUAUCAGGGGUCUAUCUUCACGGCCUGCUCCCUGCCAGGCUGCAAGGCAGUGCCCCGCAGCAGGGGCCACGCUGCCAGGGACUGUACCCCUCCAUCGAGCAGCCCGGGACGUGUGCAGUGACGAGCCUCAGCUGUCCACCGCGGUCCACGCGGCAUCCUCAGAUGCCCGCAGACACCCCCGGCCUCUCCGUUCCAACAGGCACUCAUGCGAAACGGCAGGUGUUGGGGUGAAGCUGAAGUGGCAGAAAAGCUCGGGGCUCCGGGAGUCUCACCUUAGAGAGAUUAGGAGGCGCAAAGGGCUGUGUGGAGUUGGCGGAACAAGGAAGAAAGCCUAGGACUGAGUCACGGAGGCGUCCCACGGAAACGCAGACAAGGGGCUUCCAGCUCCCAGUUCCACUGGCAAAGUGGAGGCCGACCUCGCUGCAAACCAAGCUCGUGCCAAGAGGAGGAAGAGGGUACAGAGCGAGGGCAGAGCCUUCCACCAAGGCCUGGAGAGAAACACUCCCGGCAGGAGAAAGUCAGCGUCUGGGGAGGUGAGCGGUGUGUCACUUUCAAUUCAUGGAUCCUGCUGGGCAUCUGAUGAAAGGGUGGGU
rnacentral:lncRNA from 1 species